rnacentral:rRNA from 1 species
GGGAAUUCGAUUAGAGUUUGAUCCUGGCUCAGAUUGAACGCUGGCGGCAGGCUUAACACAUGCAAGUCGAGCGGUAGCACAGGGGAGCUUGCUCCCUGGGUGACGAGCGGCGGACGGGUGAGUAAUGUCUGGGAAACUGCCUGAUGGAGGGGGAUAACUACUGGAAACGGUAGCUAAUACCGCAUAACGUCGCAAGACCAAAGAGGGGGACCUUCGGGCCUCUUGCCAUCAGAUGUGCCCAGAUGGGAUUAGCUAGUAGGUGGGGUAAUGGCUCACCUAGGCGACGAUCCCUAUCUGGUCUGAGAGGAUGACCAGCCACACUGGAACUGAGACACGGUCCAGACUCCUACUAGAGGCAGCAGUGGGGAAUAUUGCACAAUGGGCGCAAGCCUGAUGCAACCAUGCCGCGUGUGUGAAAAAAGCCUUCUGGUUGUAAAACACCUUCCCCAACAAGGAAAGAGUUGAACUUAAUACCCUCAAUUAAUUGAAGUUCAUCACAAUAAAAAGAAAAGGGUAACACCAUAGACAGCCCAAAAGCUAAAUUUGCAUGGUAAACAAUCUCGAAUUUCAAACAUUCAAGAGCGGUAUUUAUAAAACCCAGUACUAUAAGGGAAACUCUUUAAUUAGAAUUACAACCUCACAAAAACUUCAAUAAACAGAGAAAACUAUAGCGCGAGCAUAUAAUAAAUGACAUUUUAAAGGAAGAAUCAAUUAUCAAGUAUCGUAAUAUUUAUAACACGACUUUGUACUACUAUUUUAUAGG